rnacentral:lncRNA from 1 species
CCAAAAAACAUAGAAAGAAAAAAAGGAGAGCAUUUAUUUUGAACAAAUAAUUUCAGCAAAAAAACAUUGCUUCAAAUCUUGAGCUAAACAACAAUAUCGAAUACUAAUUUCUAACUCUUUUCCACUUUUUACCAUCAUUGCUCAUACUCAAAACUUCAUACCACUUGCAAAAAAAGAGCAUUUAUUUUCAACGAUUACCACAAAUAUAGGAACUUAUAAGAACUUUCAGGGGAAAAAACACUGGUAUGAAUUCAAAAUCUUGAGCUAAACAACAAUAUCGAACACUAUACUGUUGCACACGGAAUACGAACCAAAUCAAUCUGAUAAACUAACGCGAGAAAACUAGAAUUGGAGACACCAAAGUUCUUACCAGUGAGCCCUAGGGUUUUUGCACUUGGUAAUUGAGCUCAACUAGACAAGAACUGAGAGAAUCUUUCAAGCUAUAAAUGAUUACGAACGUAACGAAACCCUAAUUAAGACCAGCCGAGUCAUAAUGUGAACUUUAAGAGAUUAGUUUAGUAGAGGAUUUCGUAUAAACCCUAGGCAAAACCCAAGAUCGCUAGAGAAGGGAAGGGGUUCACUAUGCCUACAGCCUACUGGGAGAGGAGAGAGAAAGAAAAUCUCGACGAGGAGAGAGAAAGAGAGAGAGGUGCGAUCGAGUGCGAGGCGUAAAAGGAUUAUUUAUAAAGGGCACGGCAGGCUAGCCUAGACUCGACGAG